GACGAACGCUGGCGGCGUGCCUAAUACAUGCAAGUCGAACGAGAGCGCCCGGUGCUUGCACUGGUCAAUCUAGUGGCGAACGGGUGAGUAACACGUGGGUAACCUGCCCAUCAGAGGGGGAUAACAUUCGGAAACGGAUGCUAAAACCGCAUAGGUCUUCGAACCGCAUGGUUUGAAGAGGAAAAGAGGCGCAAGCUUCUGCUGAUGGAUGGACCCGCGGUGCAUUAGCUAGUUGGUGAGGUAACGGCUCACCAAGGCCGUGAUGCAUAGCCGACCUGAGAGGGUGAUCGGCCACAUUGGGACUGAGACACGGCCCAAACUCCUACGGGAGGCAGCAGUAGGGAAUCUUCCGCAAUGGACGCAAGUCUGACGGAGCAACGCCGCGUGAGUGAAGAAGGUUUUCGGAUCGUAAAACUCUGUUGUUAGAGAAGAAUAAGUGCUAGAGUAACUGUUAGCGCCCUGACGGUAUCUAACCAGAAAGCCACGGCUAACUACGUG
rnacentral:rRNA from 1 species